AUGAGGUCUCUAACUGCACUUUAUGGUCAACCACAUCAACUCGCACUACAAAGAAUUGCAGAAUUGAUGGAUGGCCCAAAAAUCAGGAGUGGCGACAUUAAAUCCUUUAGAAUGUUUGCUCUCAAAGUGCGCGCAUUAGUUGGAAUGUUGGACCAACUUGGAGCUAAAGGAUGGACAGAACUCAAAUGUGGGUCUCAUGUUUCACGUCUUCUUGCCAAACUGCCUCAUGAUCUUAAAGCAAACUUCAGAAGGUUUGUCAACCCCAUUCAAAUCCCAGUUCCAACACUGAUAGAACUUAGCGACUGGCUUGAAUACGAGCUCAGAAUACAAGAGGAUGAGACACAGUAUGCUAGUAAUGGAAGCAGAGUCUACUCUCAGCCACAGAGAGACCAGCAAAGGAACUUCAAACCAGUUCAACGAUUUGCUACUGUCUUGCAUGGUGGUGAGCAGAGUAAACCGGCAAGUGCUACAGCAUUCAAGAAGGAGAAACCAACAAAGUACUGCCCCUUCUGCAACACUGUACAGCAUUACUUCAACCAGUGCGCUAAUUUCAAACUGCUGAAUCAAGAUCAAGUGGAGUCCUGGCUGAAGUCAAAUCAGAAGUGCUUUAAGUGUGGCCGUGAUCACCAGAUCUCACAAUGUAAUCUUAAAGCCAAAUGCAAAAAAUGUGGAAAGAGACAUUUAGAAAUACUGCAUGACUUCAAUGCCAAAGUUAAACAUGAAAAACAAGCUUCAGCAGAAAACAGUUGUCUUGUGAACUCAGAAGUAGAGACUUUGUAUCUGGACAGACCAACUGCAAGCAGUAAAGUUCUUUUGAAGGUCAGUCGAGUGAUCUUGAGAAAUGGUGAGAAGGAACUUGACACAUAUGCCAUUCUGGAUGACGGUUCAGAGAGGACAAUGUUACUGUAUGAAGCAGCACAGCAACUUGAACUUCAAGGACUUCCUGAAGAUAUAGCCCUCCGUACUGUGAGACAAGACAUACGGAUCGUUCAUGGGGCGGCUGUUUCAUUCUCAGUAGCCUCUGUAUUUCAGCCAAACAAAUCCUUUACCAUUGAAAGAGCUUUCACAGCCAAAGAACUGAGCCUCGCGAAACAUACUUAUCCUGUUAAGUUGCUGCAAAAGAAAUACAGACAUCUACAAGGUCUGCCUAUUCCCCAACUGCAGCAGGCUCAACCACUCUUACUCAUUGGCUCAGAUUACCCGCAUUUAAUCACAGCCACAGAGCCAGUACGUCUCGGACCUCCUGGUGGUCCUGCCGCUGUGAAAACCAGACUUGGGUGGACUCUGCAGGGCCCCUCAAAAUUCCUUUCCAGUCAGCUCUCACCACAGCAGUGUCUAUUAACCUCCACUUUGUCACCAGAAGCCGAACUGUUCAACAAUGUACAGAAAUUGUGGCAAAUGGACACACUUCCGUACAGGAGUGAGAAAUUGAUCACAAGAUCAAGGCAAGACACAGAAGCAGUGCAAAUUCUUGAG
ensembl:lncRNA